UCUGAAAAAAAAACACAUUCAUUAUCUGUAGCUCAUGAAUUCUAAAAGAAUCUUGAACAUUAAAAAAAAAAUGGGGGUGUGAUAUUUCAUUAAUCCAUAUUAAUGAGCUACAUUGCUGUGAUUACAGUACAUUUCAAUUAAAUAUACUGUACAACAUAUUUUAAUUUUUAUAUAUCUACUGUACACAGUGUCUAAUAGCCCACUUACUUGGGUGGUUUCAGAGGCUCUUUACAAAAACAUUUGGCCCUUAUUCUUUAAAAGCUUACCUUAAAUUCUUGGGCAAAAUGUUCUACUAAAACAUAAUCAAAGUCUCUUCCUCCAAGGUUUGGUUCCACAGCUGUUGACAAGACCUAUAAAAGAUCACAACAAGCGAGAAAGGCGGGUUGCAGACUUCAAAGAAUACCCUUAGGGUAAAGGCAAAAACCCAACAAAAUUAACUACCGUAUAUUAACAGUAGGAAUUGCAAAAGGCACAAUCUCUGAAAUAACAAGGAUCGGGCACUGCCCACGAAGUGGACAUUAUGAAAUGGAAAGACAUGCAGUAAAAUGCAAGGAGGACUUAAAUGUAAGACUAAGAGGGAAAAUAGGGUAAAGCAGAGUAAUGCUGUAUGAAAGGAAUAUGGGACUUUAAUUAAAUAAAAAACCAGAAAUUCUAUAUGAAAAAAGAGGGGGCAGAAUUAUAUGUACCUUGAGCUGUCCUUUCAGAAAUGCAGUAAUACAGACUUGAAGUGAGGAAUGGCCAAUGUCGACAAAAACCACAUUCCUGGGUUUGUCAGUGGGAAGGUCUUGUUUAUAAAUACCAUAUGCCAGUGAGACUGUAAUUAAAUGAUCAGCAAUUACGUAAAAAUAAAACAGCUGAAGUAAGAUUCUUGGAAUAAAAAUACUGUCUUAAUGCUGCAUUGUCAGCAGGUCACUUCAGGUCUAUUACGUAACAAUCUUAGAUGAUUUUUAAUUAAAAAAAAUGUGAAAAAUAUUUCAAAAAUUGUGAAAGCAAUGUGUGUAUUGGAAACUUCUUUGAGGAUGUGAUUGAUAUUUAGAGCGGAUGGCAGAUUCUAAUAUAUUCUUUUGUCUCUCAAUGGUUGAAGUCUCUGUCAGCCCUCUGAAAGUAAACUGGUGAUAAUGUGGCUCUACUUAGAAAUUUUUAUGACUUAAUACAGUAUGUAUUCAUCACUUAGGCUAAAGAAUGUUGAUCUAUGUACUCCCCAUUUGUUAUUGUUCAUACAAAAGUCUACUUAAAAGGAAACUCGAGAAAGACACACAUAAGUGAUUGAAGUCUGAAACUUGAUGAUUUGAAAGUAUCUUAGUUUCUUGUUUGAAUAAGCGGAAAUAUGUGGAUGCUUUGGGUUGUACAAGAGCUUAAAAUACAUAUCAAACUGUUAAAAUAAAGUACAUAUGUUACUGUAAAUUUCCACUCAAUGACUCAACCAUUUUCAAUGACAUACAGCACCAAACUACAAUUACUGUAAAAUGGUUAUAGUGUGAAUAAAUGCAAAACUUUA